rnacentral:rRNA from 1 species
UAAGGAAUAUUGGACAAUGGAGGCAACUCUGAUCCAGCCAUGCCGCGUGAAGGAAUAAGGCCCUAUGGGUUGUAAACUUCUUUUAGACGGGACAAAACCCCUUUACGUGUAAAGGGUUGAUGGUACUGUCAGAAUAAGCAUCGGCUAACUUCGUGCCAGCAGCCGCGGUAAUACGAAGGAUGCAAGCGUUAUCCGGAAUUAUUGGGUUUAAAGGGUGCGUAGGCGGACUAAUAAGUCAGUGGUGAAAGCCUGCAGCUUAACUGCAGAAUUGCCAUUGAUACUGUUAGUCUUGAGUACAGUUGAGGUAGGCGGAAUGUGUCAUGUAGCGGUGAAAUGCUUAGAUAUGACACAGAACACCGAUUGCGAAGGCAGCUUGCUAAGCUGUAACUGACGCUGAGGCACGAAAGCGUGGGGAGCAAAC